AGGGUUUGAUCAUGGCUCAGGAUGAACGCUAGCGGCAGGCUUAACACAUGCAAGUCGAGGGGUAACAGGAGUAGCUUGCUAUUUGCUGACGACCGGCGCACGGGUGCGUAACGCGUAUAGAAUCUACCUUAUACUGGGGGAUAGCCUUUGGAAACGAAGAUUAAUACCCCAUAGUAUUAUUUUUUGGCAUCAUUAAAUAAUUAAAGUUUCGGCGGUAUAAGAUGACUAUGCGUUCUAUUAGUUAGUUGGUAAGGUAACGGCUUACCAAGACCGCGAUAGAUAGGGGUCCUGAGAGGGAGAUCCCCCACACUGGUACUGAGACACGGACCAGACUCCUACGGGAGGCAGCAGUGAGGAAUAUUGGACAAUGGAGGCAACUCUGAUCCAGCCAUGCCGCGUGUAGGAAGACUGCCCUAUGGGUUGUAAACUACUUUUAUAUGGGAAGAAUAAGGUCUACGUGUAGACUGAUGACGGUACCAUAAGAAUAAGCACCGGCUAACUCCGCGCCAGCAGCCGCGGUAAUACGGAGGGUGCAAGCGUUAUCCGGAAUCAUUGGGUUUAAAGGGUCCGUAGGCGUGCAUAUAAGUCAGUGGUGAAAGUCUGUGGCUUAACCAUAGAAUUGCCAUUGAUACUGUAUGUCUUGAAUUAUUGUGAAGUGGUUAGAAUAUGUAGUGUAGCGGUGAAAUGCUUAGAGAUUACAUAGAAUACCGAUUGCGAAGGCAGAUCACUAACAAUAUAUUGACGCUGAUGGACGAAAGCGUAGGUAGCGAACAGGAUUAGAUACCCUGGUAGUCUACGCCGUAAACGAUGGAUACUAGUUGUUUGGCCUUCGGGCUGAGU
rnacentral:rRNA from 1 species